UACGUAGGGUGCAAGCGUUAAUCGGAAUUACUGGGCGUAAAGCGUGCGCAGGCGGUUGUGUAAGUCUGUCGUGAAAUCCCCCGGGCUCAACCUGGGAAUUGCGAUGGAGACUGCACGGCUAGAGUGUGUCAGAGGGGGGUAGAAUUCCACGUGUAGCAGUGAAAUGCGUAGAUAUGUGGAGGAACACCGAUGGCGAAGGCAGCCCCCCUGGGAUAACACUGACGCUCAUGCACGAAAGCGUGGGGGAGCAAACAGGG
rnacentral:rRNA from 1 species